rnacentral:rRNA from 1 species
CGGAGCAAUCCCUUAAAGCCAUUCUCAGUUCGGAUUGUAGGCUGAAACUCGCCUACAUGAAGCUGGAGUUACUAGUAAUCGCAGAUCAGAAUGCUGCGGUGAAUGCGUUCCCGGGUCUUGUACACACCGCCCGUCACACCACGGAAGUUGGGGGCGCCCGAAGCCACUUAGCUAACCCAUUUGGGAAGCGAGUGUCGAAGGUGAAAUCAAUAACUGGGGUGAAGUCGUAACAAGGUAAC